rnacentral:rRNA from 1 species
UACGGGAGGCAGCAGUGGGGAAUAUUGCACAAUGGGCGCAAGCCUGAUGCAGCCAUGCCGCGUGUAUGAAGAAGGCCUUCGGGUUGUAAAGUACUUUCAGUCGUGAGGAAGGUGUUAAGGUUAAUAACCUUAGCAAUUGACGUUAGCGACAGAAGAAGCACCGGCUAACUCCGUGCCAGCAGCCGCGGUAAUACGGAGGGUGCGAGCGUUAAAUCGGAAUUACUGGGCGUAAAGGGCACGCAGGCGGUUAAUUAAGUUGGAUGUGAAAUCCCCGGGCUUAAACCUGGGAAUGGCAUUCAAGACUGGUUUAGCUAGAGUCUUUGUAGAGGGGGUAGAAUUCCAUGUGUAGCGGUGAAAUGCGUAGAGAUGUGGAGGAAUACCGGUGGCGAAGGCGGCCCCUGGACAAAAGACUGACGCUCAUGUGCGAAAGCGUGGGGAGCAAACAGGGAUUAGAUACC